GAUGAACGCUGGCGGCGUGCCUAAUACAUGCAAGUCGAGCGAACGGACGCGAAGCUUGCUUUUCUGAUGUUAGCGGCGGACGGGUGAGUAACACGUGGAUCCCCUACCUAUAAGUCUGGGAUAACUUCGGGACACCGGAUCUAAUACCGUAUAAUAUUUUGCACCGCAUUGUUCAAAAGUGAAAUACGGUCUUUCGGUCACUUCUAGAUGCUUCCGCGCUGCAUUAGCUAGUUGGUAAGGUAACGGCUUACCAAGGCAACGAUGCAUAGCCGACCUGAGAGGGGGAUCGGCCACACUGGAACUGAGACACGGUCCAGACUCCUAAGGGAGGCAGCAGUAGGGAAUCUUCCGCAAUGGGCGAAAGCCUGACGGAGCAACGCCGCGUGAGUGAUGAAGGUCUUCGGAUCGUAAAACUCUGUUAUUAGGGAAGAACAGAUGUGUAAGUAACUGUGCACAUCUUGACGGUACCUAAUCAGAAAGCCACGGCUAACUACGUG
rnacentral:rRNA from 1 species